rnacentral:rRNA from 1 species
UACGAAGGGGGCUAGCGUUGUUCGGAAUUACUGGGCGUAAAGCGCGCGCAGGCGGUCUUCCAAGUCAGUGGUGAAAUCCCAGAGCUCAACUCUGGAACUGCCUUUGAUACUGUCGAUCUGGAGUAUGGAAGAGGUGAGUGGAAUUCCGAGUGUAGAGGUGAAAUUCGUAGAUAUUCGGAGGAACACCAGUGGCGAAGGCGGCUCACUGGUCCAUUACUGACGCUGAGGUGCGAAAGCGUGGGGAGCAAACAGG